UACGUAGGGUCCGAGCGUUGUCCGGAAUUAUUGGGCGUAAAGAGCUCGUAGGCGGUCUGUCGCGUCGGCUGUGAAAACACGGGGCUCAACUCCGUGCCUGCAGUCGAUACGGGCAGACUAGAGUUCGGUAGGGGAGACUGGAAUUCCUGGUGUAGCGGUGAAAUGCGCAGAUAUCAGGAGGAACACCGGUGGCGAAGGCGGGUCUCUGGGGCCGAAACUGACGCUGAGGAGCGAAAGCGUGGGGAGCGAACAGG
rnacentral:rRNA from 1 species